GCCUCCUUGGCUCAGUUGGCUAGAGCGCAGGUCUCAUAGCAAUAUGACGUAAGCUUCUUACGUAAGCUUCUUACGCAAUCCUGAGGUCGCAAGUUCGAGCCUUGCAGGGGGCA